AUACUUACCUGGCAGGGGAGAUACCAUGAUCAGGAAGGUGGUUUUCCCAGGGUGAGGCUUCUCCAUUGCACUGCGGAGGUGCUGACCCCUGCGAUUUCCCCAAAUGUAAAAAAUGUGGCAUUUAUACACAAUGGAGUAUUACUCUGC
rnacentral:snRNA from 1 species